rnacentral:rRNA from 1 species
GACGAACGCUGGCGGCGUGCCUAAUACAUGCAAGUCGAACGAACCGCGACUAAGUGCUUGCACUUGGUCAAGGUGAGUGGCGAACGGGUGAGUAACACGUGGGUAACCUACCUCAUAGUGGGGGAUAAUAGUCGGAAACGACUGCUAAUACCGCAUAGGACAUGGAAUCACAUGAUUCUGUGAGGAAAGGUGGCGCAAGCUAUCGCUAAGAGAUGGACCCGCGGUGCAUUAGCUAGUUGGUAGGGUAACGGCCUACCAAGGCAAUGAUGCAUAGCCGACCUGAGAGGGUGAUCGGCCACAUUGGGACUGAGACACGGCCCAAACUCCUACGGGAGGCAGCAGUAGGGAAUCUUCCGCAGUGGACGCAAGUCUGACGGAGCAACGCCGCGUGAGUGAAGAAGGUCUUCGGAUCGUAAAGCUCUGUUGUUAGAGAAGAACAGCGCAUAGAGUAACUGUUAUGCGUGUGACGGUAUCUAACCAGAAAGCCACGGCU